rnacentral:rRNA from 1 species
UACGUAGGUGGCGAGCGUUGUCCGGAUUUACUGGGCGUAAAGAGCGCGCAGGCGGCUGGUCAAGUCCGAUGUGAAAGCUCCCGGCUUAACUGGGAAAUUGCAUCGGAAACUGAUCGGCUGGAAGGUGGGAGAGGGUAGCGGAAUUCCCGGUGUAGUGGUGAAAUGCGUAGAUAUCGGGAGGAACACCGGUGGCGAAGGCGGGUCUCUGGGCCGAUACUGACGCUGAGGAGCGAAAGCGUGGGGAGCGAACAGG